rnacentral:rRNA from 1 species
GUGGGGAAUAUUGGACAAUGGGGGAAACCCUGAUCCAGCAACGCCGUGUGAGUGACGAAGGUCUUCGGAUCGUAAAGCUCUGUCAGUAGGGAAGAAAGCAGCAAGCAUCAGAUCCUUGCUGUAGACGGUACCUAAAAAGGAAGCACCGGCUAACUCCGUGCCAGCAGCCGCGGUAAUACGGAGGGUGCAAGCGUUGUUCGAAAUUACUGGGCGUAAAGCGCACGCAGGUGGUGAGGAAAGUCCUGUGUGAAAGCCUCAGGCUUAACCUGAGAAGGUCACAGGAAACUGCCUCGCUGGAGUCCGAGAGGGGAGAGCGGAAUUCCCAGUGUAGAGGUGAAAUUCGUAGAUAUUGGGAGGAACACCGGAGGCGAAGGCGGCUCUCUGGCUCGGUACUGACACUCAUGUGCGAAAGCGUGGGGAGCAAACAGG